UGGGGAAUAUUGGACAAUGGGCGAAAGCCUGAUCCAGCAAUACCGCGUGUGUGAAGAAGGCCUGAGGGUUGUAAAGCACUUUCAAUAGGAAGGAAUACCUUGAGGUUAAUACCCUCAAGACUGACAUUACCUAUACAAGAAGCACCGGCUAACUCCGUGCCAGCAGCCGCGGUAAUACGGAGGGUGCAAGCGUUAAUCGGAAUUACUGGGCGUAAAGCGUGCGUAGGCGGCUUUUUAAGUCAGAUGUGAAAGCCCUGGGCUUAACCUGGGAACUGCAUUUGAUACUGGGAAGCUAGAGUUGAGUAGAGGAGAGUGGAAUUUCAGGUGUAGCGGUGAAAUGCGUAGAGAUCUGAAGGAACACCAGUGGCGAAGGCGGCUCUCUGGACUCAAACUGACGCUG
rnacentral:rRNA from 1 species